ACGAACGCUGGCGGCAUGCCUAACACAUGCAAGUCGAACGCGACCUUCGGGUCUAGUGGCGCACGGGUGCGUAACGCGUGGGAACCUGCCCUUAGGUUCGGAAUAACUCCCCGAAAGGGGUGCUAAUACCAGAUAAUGUCUUCGGACCAAAGAUUUAUCGCCUUUGGAUGGGCCCGCGUUGGAUUAGCUAGUUGGUAGGGUAAAAGCCUACCAAGGCGACGAUCCAUAGCUGGUCUGAGAGGAUGAUCAGCCACACUGGGACUGAGACACGGCCCAGACUCCUACGGGAGGCAGCAGUGGGGAAUAUUGGACAAUGGGCGAAAACCUGAUCCAGCAAUGCCGCGUGAGUGAUGAAGGCCUUAGGGUUGUAAAGCUCUUUUACCCGGGAUGAUAAUGACAGUACCGGGAGAAUAAGCUCCGGCUAACUCCGUG
rnacentral:rRNA from 1 species